GAUAAGAACGUAGCAAAAUGCGAUAAGUAAUGUGAAUUGCAGAAUUCAGUGAAUCAUCGAAUCUUUGAACGCACAUUGCGCCCGCUGGUAUUCCGGCGGGCAUGCCUGUUCGAGCGUCAUUUCAACCCUCAAACCCCCCGGGUUUGGUGUUGGGGAUCGGCUCUGCCUCACGGCGGUGCCGCCCCCGAAAUACAUUGGCGGUCUCGCUGCAGCCUCCAUUGCGUAGUAGCUAACACCUCGCAACUGGAACGCGGCGCGGCCAUGCCGUAAAACCCCAACUUCUGAAUGUUGACCUCGGAUCAGGUAGGAAUACCCGCUGAACUUAAGCAUAUCAAUAAGCGGAGGA
rnacentral:misc_RNA from 1 species